GAUGAACGCUGGCGGCGUGCCUAAUACAUGCAAGUCGAGCGAACAGACGAGGAGCUUGCUCCUCUGACGUUAGCGGCGGACGGGUGAGUAACCCGUGGAUAACCUACCUAUAAGACUGGGAUAACUUCGGGAAACCGGAGCUAAUACCGGAUAAUAUAUUGAACCGCAUGGUUCAAUAGUGAAAGACGGUUUUGCUGUCACUUAUAGAUGGAUCCGCGCCGCAUUAGCUAGUUGGUAAGGUAACGGCUUACCAAGGCGACGAUGCGUAGCCGACCUGAGAGGGUGAUCGGCCACACUGGAACUGAGACACGGUCCAGACUCAUACGGGAGGCAGCAGUAGGGAAUCUUCCGCAAUGGGCGAAAGCUUGACGGAGCAACGCCGCGUGAGUGAUGAAGGUCUUCGGAUCGUAAAACUCUGUUAUUAGGGAAGAACAAAUGUGUAAGUAACUAUGCACGUCUUGACGGUACCUAAUCAGAAAGCCACGGCUAACUACGUG
rnacentral:rRNA from 1 species